UACGUAGGGUGCAAGCGUUGCCCGGAUUUAUUGGGCGUAAAGGGCGCGCAGGCGGCUACGCACGUCCGUUGUGAAAUCGCUCGGCUCAACUGGGCGGGGUCGGCGGAUACGGCGUAGCUGGAGCAAGCUAGGGGGCAAUGGAAUUCCCGGUGUAGUGGUGGAAUGCGUAGAUAUCGGGAGGAACACCUAUGGCGAAGGCAGCUCGCUGGGACGUUACUGACGCUGAGACGCGAAAGCGUGGGGAGCAAACAGG
rnacentral:rRNA from 1 species